GAGGAGGAGGAGGGGCCCGAGGAGCCCAUCCCCCCCCUGCCCGACUUUUUUGAGGACAAAACCUUCUUCCUGCACGGGGAGUUCCCGGAGGGGGAGGGGCGGCGGCUGAGACGGCUCGUGAUCGCCUUCGGAGGCACUCUGUCCCCCUCCCUGGAUGACUCGGUGACCCACGUGGUGACAGCCCAGGACUGGGACCCCGCCCUGGAGGAGGCACUGGAGCUCCGCCCCUCGCUGACCUUCGUGCGCCCCCAUUGGCUGGAGCUGUGCGGGGAGCGGCAGCGCCCCCUGCCGGCCGCGCCCUUCACCAUCGGACCCCGCGCGUGAUGUCAUCAGGGUGACGUUGUCGCAGCUCCUCCUCCGCUUUAUACCCC